UCAAAAUAAAAAUUAGGUAUAUUCUCGUAAAGUCAAGUGAGCCAUGACAUAUGAGCUCUUAUUGUGAGCACACAGGACGGUGGCAUCUUUCUAAGGUUUUUUUAUUUUCCCAGCAAUCAGUACAACCAAGUCAUCGUUAUAAGGCAUCGCCCUCUUUUGCCCACCCCCAGCACCAGGUGUGGCCACUAGCCUAUAUGAAGGCCCAAAAUUGUGUGUUCCUUUCUGCUCUGACAAUGGCAUGCCCAUUCGUGCGAGAUGUGGUGGAUGAAGAAGCACUUGUGCUGAGGAGAGCCUUCAGGCGAGAAAGGGUCUUCAGGGACCGGUUGGACCCACUGGCCUUCCCUGAUGACCAUCUAUAUGAAAGAUACAGGUUUUCUGCAGAUGGCAUCAGGUAUCUAUGCAGACUACUGGGUCCCAGGAUUAAGCACCGCACUGCACGGAGCCAUGCACUGAGUGUGGAGCAAAUGGUUUGUGUGGCCUUGCGCUUUUUUGCUAGUGGAGCCUUCCUGUACUCAGAACAGCUGAACAAGGCCACAAUUUGCCGCACAAUAAGGAGUGUGUGUCUGGCUAUCAAAGCAUUAGCAGAUGUCUUCAUCUCCUUCCCUGGCCACAGAAGACUCUGUGACAUCAAAGAGGAGUUCUAUAGGAUUGCAGAUGGUCUGCAAUGCUGACUGUGUGAUCAGCAAUGUUGUGGCAAAAUGGCCUGGCUCAGUCCAUGACUCCAGAAUCUUUCGGGCCUCUGAAAUCUAUCAGUGCCUAUCACAAGGUGAAUUCUCUGGUGUGUUGCUGGGAGACAGGGGUAUGGCUGCCAGCCUUUUCUCCUGACACCUUUCACAGACCCCCAGGAAGCACAGCAGGCCUACAACCAUGCCCAUGCCAGGACCAGGGCCAGAGUUGAAAUGACCUUUGGCCUCCUGAAGGCACGCUUUCACUGCCUUCACAAAUUAAGGGUCAGCCCUGUUAGGGCAUGUGAUAUUGCUGUGGCUUGUGCUGUCCUCCACAAUGUGGCCUGCCUGAGGAAGGAGAGGGCCCCCAGAGUGCCACCAGCCAUGGACUGGGACAAUCCGGCAAUCUUCCCUGAUGACGACAGUGAUCGGCUGCUGAGGGACCAAUAUGUGUUGAAUUAUUUUAGUUAGUAUUUGUGCUUUCAAUUUUGGUUAAAUAUGUCCUGCGGUGGCAGAGGAAUUUGUUUUUUUUUGGGUUCGUUUUUUGACAAAUUUGGCCUCUUAUGAUGUUUGUGCGGUAUACUGUGUGUAAUACAAGGCUGCAGGGAGGCUACUGCAUCCAUUCAUUUGUCUGUUCAGUUGAUGUGUAUGGAUUUGUCCUGCAUUUAUUUUAGUGUGCAGACAUGCAGGGUGUGUUAUAUACAGACCUUUGAAUGUGUAUGUAUCAUUUUGUAUAAUAUGCUUGGAUUCUGUGCUUUCCAUCUUGUAGAGUCACUGUGACUUCAGUUUCGAAAGGAGCUGAUGGUUUACCUGCUUUGUUUUGUCCUUAUUCAAUAAAGGAACAUAAUGUUACACAUUGUGUUUUUAUAUUCAUA